UACGGAGGGUGCGAGCGUUGUCCGGAAUCACUGGGCGUAAAGGGCGCGUAGGCGGCGCGGGUAGUCGUCGGUGAAAGCUCAGGGCUCAACCCUGAGUCGGCCGGUGAUACUCCCGUGCUCGAGCACUGUAGAGGCAGGUGGAAUUCCGGGUGUAGCGGUGGAAUGCGCAGAUAUCAGGAGGAACACCAAUAGCGAAGGCAGCUCGCUGGGACGUUACUGACACUAAGGCGCGAAAGCGUGGGGAGCGAACAGG
rnacentral:rRNA from 1 species